rnacentral:lncRNA from 1 species
UUUAAAUGAUCCUGUGUGUUUGGAGCGCCCACUUGAGAGAGUAAGCUUGGGAGACAGGGAUUGCAACUUGGACUUCUCUUCUUCCCUUUAGGUCAGCUGUCCAAGUGAUGCUCCAUGAAUGCUCUUAACUUACUGACCAAUUAACAGCCACAGCUGGGCACUGAAUCUGUGCUUGAAACAUGAACAUGGUGAUGACUGCAGUAAUAGUAACAGCUUGUUGGAUAUGCAACCUCUGUUUCCUCCUUUCCAGAAGCUCGGCUCCGGCGUUGCAGUAUUCCAGGAAAACAGACAGAACUCCUCCCUGGAUUUCGGGACGUGGUCCCUCCCCCUGCAGCACAAACCCUUGUAACCAUGUGGGUGAAGCUCCCCGUGCCUCCAAAGCCCGCAGAUCUACCGUCCCAGGUUGAGGGUGGCCUUUGCAGAACAAGGUGAUGGACUCUGCACUUGCAGCAUAAAUAACCUUCCCUUUCGCCACUGAAGGAGUCGUCACAGGAAAGAACAUUGUGUCAACAGGGUCCCCUCACUCAACGUUCCCCAUCACCCCCACGCUUCACCAGCUUUUUCAGGUUUCUCAUUUACUCUGAAACAUUUUCUGAUUCUGCCAGCCCCUGGCGAGGCCAGGGUGGCAAGCGAGAAUGGUCAAGUUAACCCCUCUGCCGUCUUCAGGAGGACCGGGGGAGGGGGAGGGGCCGUGGCAAGACCUUGGAGAAGAGGAGAGUAUCAGAAGAGCGACCCCAGGAUUUGUUUGGGAGCAGACCUGUUCAAGCUCGAGUCCAACCCGAGUUAAUCCACCAAGACGCACCCUUUCCAACCUAAUCUUGGGCUUGGAUUUGUCCUAAAAGCAC